rnacentral:rRNA from 1 species
GACGUAGGGGGCGAGCGUUGUCCGGAAUUACUGGGCGUAAAGUGUGCGCAGGCGGCCGAGCAAGUCGAGUGUGAAAGCCCCGGGCUCAACCUGGGAACCGCGCUUGAGACUGGCACGCUCGAGUUCGGGAGAGGAUGGUGGAAUUCCCAGUGUAGAGGUGAAAUUCGUAGAUAUUGGGAAGAACACCGAUGGCGAAGGCAGCCAUCUGGACCGACACUGACGCUGAGGCGCGAAAGCGUGGGGAGCAAACAGG